AUACGUAGGUGGCAAGCGUUGUCCGGAUUUAUUGGGCGUAAAGCGAGCGCAGGCGGUCUCUUAAGUCUGAUGUGAAAGCCCCCGGCUCAACCGGGGAGGGUCAUUGGAAACUGGGAGACUUGAGUGCAGCAGAGGAGAGUGGAAUUCCAUGUGUAGCGGUGAAAUGCGUAGAUAUAUGGAGGAACACCAGUGGCGAAGGCGGCUCUCUGGUCUGUAACUGACGCUGAGGCUCGAAAGCGUGGGGAGCAAACAGGAUUAGAUACCCUGGUAGUCCACGCCGUAAACGAUGAGUGCUAAGUGUUGGAGGGUUUCCGCCCUUCAGUGCUGCAGCUAACGCAUUAAGCACUCCGCCUGGGGAGUACGGCCGCAAGGCUGAAACUCAAAUGAAUUGACGGGG
rnacentral:rRNA from 1 species